GCAGGAAAGAAGGAGAAGACCUGCCUUUUGGUCCUUGCUCUAGAGUUCUGCAAGCAGUGGAAGGCUGCAGCAGGUGUAGAGGACAAGCUGUGGAAGCAGAAACAGCGUAAGGAUGGACCUGAUGAUGCUGCACAGGAAGCAAAAGGCCACACUGAGCAGAGGUGAAUGGAGGUGAACUUGGAGGAACACGUCUGAUUUCAAGUGGAAACACGGUUAUACAGCAUCAGGGGCUCUACAAGAGCUUUUACGUUGGAACUACGGUACUUGUGGCCUAAAGUACUUUCUAACACGUUUUGACACCUUCUGAUUCCCCCUGGUUUUAUAUCUAUGACAAAAGCCUGAAGGAGUUAAUCAGUACCUGUUCACCACCCUCUAUUUAGUCUACAGGUAUUUCAGUCAACAGGUAACCCAGCUGGAUGCCAGGCUUGCAGUGCUUAAAAGAAGGACCAACCAGAGUGAACACAAAAAAAGAGAAGAAAUACAUUUCUUUCUUUGUUACCUUGAAAUUCUUCAAGUUUUAAUAAGGGCUUUGUGUCACACAAGCUUCUUCUAUUCGAUGAUUCAGUGUUGGUUCAAUCCUGAGCAUAUAAUGUGUGCCAGUCUGUCGUUACGGAAGUGUCUGUGAGGUGAUUCCUUUGCAGGACCAAGGAAGAAGAGCCGAGGAGAGAUCACGCUCUUGGUCACGCAUGGAGAACCCUAGUGGCACAGGCAGCAAAAGGGGGUCCUUUCAGUGAAUCUGUUUACUGUAAAAUGCCCGUAAGGUUAAAUUAUUUUGUUUAAUUUCCCUGCAGUUGUUAACUUCCAGAUAGUCUGCACGCACGCAGAUUGUUUAAAAAACAGACACGUAGCGCGCUGGCCACUGUUCUUCUCGCACAGACUCCCACGGGACACGUUAACCAUAAGCCUCGCUGCCAGACCCUCCGGCACAGAUCUGAGCAAACAGAUGGGCCUUACAUCGUGCCCUGAAAGUCAGCGGACUUUGGCUCUGCUAGGCCGCUGGGAGAAGUAAAUUCCUGAGCUGAGCACGUUUCACAAGGAAAGCAGCGCUUACACUCUCCAGAUGUGCAGAUUCAGGGUGUGCCGGCGAGAGUGCUCUGGCUGCUCUCAGCUGUCAAGAUAGCGCUCGGAAGAGGAGAGGAGGAAAUUCCUCGGGCAGCCCCAGUCCCAGCCACACAGCUUCACUGGUCCAAAGGGGUCGUUGCAAAUCCACAGCCCCAGAAUCAGUGCAGGAAGCAAUGAUUGGAAACAAACAUAGCACGCAGACAGUGUUUAUUUAAUGCAGGAUGGUGCUCUUGAUAGCGUAGUUCAUGCAUGAUAUUCUGGUGCAAUUCUUUUCUAAAUGAUCCAAAGUUUUCCUGCACUACAUAUAUAUUCUUUGUUAGCCUUGUUCUUUUGCUCUUCCUUAGGAAAGCCUGGGGACUCUGUGCAAAGCCCUCCUUCCAAGGCUCGCUUGCAUCCCACUUGCAUUUCAGCCCACAGCUGAAUCUCCACUGUGCCUUCUGCACACUCAAAAGGGAUGUUUGCUCUGUUUGUUUUCAGCUUGUUGCUUCUCCCUUACAUGGUUUGCGGUCCAGAAGUGCUAGCAACAACCUACUUCAUUGUUUCUGCACAAAGAUCCUGAAUCUACAGACUCUAAGCAGCCUCCCAGCACUGUCAGCUCACCUCCUCGGCCAUCUCACUUGCAGAGCCUGCACUAAGCUGGGCAUCUAAAAACCAUUACUCAGGCCUCCAAAAGUCAUGAAACUGUCCUGAAAAGAAUUUCCAGUAAGCAUGUCCUUGCAAGUAAUUCAAUGGAAAAAUUGAAGCCAAUAAAGCCCUCACAUUUUUACAGCAGGAAGAAGCCUGAUGCUGUGUGUCAAACACGAAGGAGGGCUAGAGCAUCACAGUAGCCCAUCUGGCGUUACGAACCACAAUUUGGAAUUAUUCUUUUGUAAUGAACAAGAUUCUCUGGGAAGAAGCAGGAGGAAGAUUUGCCAUUGGAAUUAGAAGUUAUGUUGUUGGAAGACUGACAGUGAAAAGGUGAAGCAAAGCACUAUUUAUAGGCAGAGACACUAUCUUUCAUUCAAUCCACUGAUACAGUUUGAUCAGCUUUCACUAGCUUGCCUGGAGUUUCUUCCAGCUAUAUGCAUUCACCUAAUAAAAUAUUUUAUCUCCUGACAAACCCAGCUUCACUUACCAUGGAAAAUGAUUGAAGGUCUAGUCACAAGAUUAUCAGUAUGAAAUUCAAAGGGAGAGAGAAGCAGAUUUACAAUGAAGAUGAGAAGCAGCUGUAAGACAUGGAAAGGACAAAAUGGACAAAUCUGUGUUUAUGCAAAGAAUCCAGGGGCAUAUUUAUAUACCUACUGAUUAGGUACACAGUCAAAAGCCAGAAAUUCUUGGUUUCUUCAUUGAAAAGGUGCUGAGCUCCUGAGCAUGCAUGGAAUUUGGCACAAAAGUUUAGAAAAGGGAUAAUGGCUAAAUUGCUUCAUCUUCCUUUCAGUCAGGGAUAUCCACCUCAUUUAUGGAAAAUGAGCUCUAACCUUUGAAGACCUCGUGCCUCUCUUCUUUCCCUCACGUGCAUUUUAGACAGGGAGCUUGGCAAAUCAUCUGGAACAUCUGCUCCCCCUCUCGGUCAAGGAAUUGAAAUCCCACAUAUCCUUAGACGCAGUGGUUUCAAACCAUCUGGGCAUGGCAAAGCGUUAGCUGCAUGCACAGCAACGGGAUAAAUAAUUUACAGAAAGACAACUACGUAUGGCUACGUAUAAUAUAAAGCACAUCCUACUUUUUCGAGGCAGCCCUUUCCCACACCUGCAUUAUAUCGUGCGAAACUCCCAACCCUUCAGAACCAAGAGUAUCACAGCUUAAAAUUACUGCUGUAGUAAGAGCCAUCAGUAACAAGCUUGAUUUUGCAGGAAUGUUCGAUUGCAGGACCAGGGUACCUUGAGCUGCCUUCUGGCCCCUAAAGAGACCUGAGAUGGAGCAGGAAAACUGAGUGUUGAGCACCCAGAGUGCUCUAAGCUUGUUUCUGAUGCCAAUAAUCCUGCAAGUCCCUCAUAGAAGUAGUUUUACUGUGUCAGACAGUCAAGUGAGCAUGAAAACCCAAUCGACUGACAGACAGUGAAGAUUAUGUACCGGGAGGAUUAUAAUGAAAUACCUAGUUAUUAAGUGCACUGCAGCAUUCUGAAUCACUUACAGUUAUGGUAUAAAAUACAUGCUCCUUAUGUGGAGAGCCUGACUGCUAAAAUACAGUAAUAUAGGAUAAAAAAAUAAGACAGCUGAAAAGAAAUAGGUCUUCUUCUUGAAACAGAGUAAGCAGUUUUAUGUGGAUCAAAGAUGUGCACAAAUAUGUUAAAAGCAUAAUAUUUAAAAUGAGUCCAUUGUUACAAAAGUUUAUUUCUAGAAGCUACCCUACUGAUAGAACAGGAUGAUAUAUAUAUAUAUAUAUAUAUACACACAUAUAUAUAUUUAUAUGUACAUAUAUAUAAGGAUCAGUACUUGAGGGAGUUAAAGGUUUGGGCUCUCAAUAGCCAAUCAGUUAAGCAACAAGGAGGGAUAUAAACAAGUUAUCCUCUGACUAGAGCAAAGCCUGAUUUCACAAAAAAUACUCAAAAUAAACAAAAAUGCAUACAAAAAGCAUAAUGACAUGAGCUUCAGAUUCUUGGUAUUCUAAAUAAAAUGCUAGCAAAUGUCAUGCUCAUUCAAAGCUUAACGCAUGCUUCUUCACCAUACAUGCAAAAUGUAUCUCAUUUCCAGUUGGUUGGUUUCCAAAUAGCGUUAAUAGCAAAAAUACAGAAUGGUUUUAAGAAUCUUUCCAAAUGUCAGAAAUAAUUACUUCUGAAGUAUGCCUCAAUCACUACA